CAGUUUUUCUUUAGACUGUGCUUGCCUUCAUUUGAAAAUCUGAACUGAGAACCUCCUAACAGAGGUGUGUGUGAGAUCUCAGAACAAAGGAAAAUGUUUAACCACUUCUUAACCACAGCAUAACACAUCUCCACAGCAGAUCAGUCCUCCAUCUGCUUCAAUGGCAUUUUGGAAUUUUCUCAUGUUCUUCAUGACAGUUCUGAUCUCCAGCACAGGCCUAGAGUCUGGACUCCAGAUGAUGUCACUUCCUCUUGAGUGCAGUCGUUGCUGUGGUAACUGUGGCUGAUUGUUUGAGCAUGCGUACUGCGUGCUCUCAGACGUUCCGAUACAGACGUUAAUACUUAUUCUGGGGACAUUUUACUUUAGAAUAAAAUUCACUGCAUCUGAAACAUAUAGAACACUUUUCAUGGAGUCAUAGGUUACAGUUUCAAAAAAUAAUAAAAAAAUAAAAAGCGUUUAAAUUAUAUCCACCCUGUUUUGCUGUUUCUGUUAUAUGACAGUGCUGAUUCCUUUAAUAUUCUACUCUGUAAAGGUCCAGAACAUUAAUGAAAUGUUCAGAAUUGACCUUUAUUUCAGUAAAAUACACUUUAAUACUUUAUGACUAGUUUAACAGAGCCCCGGUCUGUACGAACACUGACAAGAGAAACGUGAAGAAAUUCAAUUUUAAGUAAUCCAUCAGGCCUUUGUUUAUCACAUUCACAAAUGUGCUAUAUAGAUCCAUUUAAAUGCACAGAAUCUUUUGACAGUUAUAUACAAAU